CAUCUCACUUAGAAUGUUGACCUCCAUAGAAGAUCCAGUUUUCUAACCAGUAAGACACACCCAGGCAACAGUCCAAACUUCUCAUCUUCUGUUUUCUUAGUCAAAUCCCCUAGAAACAGAGUCCAAAGCAAGGACUCAAGGUUUGCGCUUUAUGGAGAAGGCCCAGUCCUGGGAUUGCAAAACUGAGAAGAAGAGAAAGUGAGGCAGAGAAGAGUGGGAAGCAGCUCAAGUCCCACUGCAGGAGGUACAGGACAGAUUUAGAUCCAACUUCCUCAGGAAGGAUCCCUCAACAUUCAGACCCUUGAGGAUGCAACAUCGUGAACCCCUCCGCAUGACGAGAACGCAUCCAGCCAUUGUUUAAAGAGGGAGACAACAGCCAAGAAGAGCCUUGUGAGGCCUCCCUUGGCCUUCCAGUCCUUCAUUAGGGAGCAGGGAAAAGAGGACUCUGCCAAGAGCAAACCUGAAACAUUCUUUUGAGUUCAGUUCAAUGCCUGUACAUCACGUUCACACACACACAAACAUGUCCCCAGGACUGUAGAUGGGAGGUGUUCACUGUUCAAGGGCUGUCAUGGAAAAGGAGGUGAUGAGAGCUCCUAGUACCAUGGUCUAGCUUAGCUAUGUCCACAGGGAAGCAGUUCAUGGAGGCUGUUCUCCUCUGUUACCUGUUAUCUGUAGCUACCUGUGACCACUCUGACAGGAAAAAAUGCUCCCAAAUACCAACAUAAUGGAGAAUCAAUGGUCCCCUCGCUGUCUCAGUCACAGGAGAAAUAUCUUAAGCUCAAACUGGCCCAAGGUCAAAGAGAUAACCAGAAUUUCACGUGGAAACCAUGAAUCCAUUUCCACAGUGUUGACUCCUAUGCCUUGCAUCCAGACCUGACCGAGAAGAUAAGCACCUGGUGUAUACUUUCUGGCUUAUUUUAAGCCAGUCCUUUAAAGAGUCUUCUGUAUGUCUCCUAGAAACAUCAUAGUAGUUGAAGGCCCAAGAUCCUAUGACUAAAAUACAACUAAGAGAUCUUGAGUGAAAUCAUAUCACACCAGGAGGCUUC
rnacentral:sRNA from 1 species